GACGAAGGAUGCAAGCGUUAUCCGGAUUCAUUGGGUUUAAAGGGAGCGUGGGCGGCCUUGUAAGUCAGUGGUGAAAUCUCUGGGCUUAACCCAGAAAUUGCCAUUGAUACUGCAGGGCUUGAGUACAGUUGCCGUUGGCGGAAUAUGACAUGUAGUGGUGAAAUACAUAGAGAUGUCAUAGAACACCGAUUGCGAAGGCAGCUAACGAAACUGUAACUGACGCUGAGGCUCGAAAGUGUGGGGAUCAAACAGG
rnacentral:rRNA from 1 species